UACAGGGGGUGCAAACGUUGCUCGGAAUCAUUGGGCGUAAAGCGCACGUAGGCGGUUUGUUAAGUCGGAUGUGAAAUCCCUCGGCUCAACUGAGGAAGUGCAUCCGAAACUGGCAGGCUUGAGUACUAAAGAGGGUCGCGGAAUUCCCGGUGUAGAGGUGAAAUUCGUAGAUAUCGGGAGGAACACCGGUGGCGAAGGCGGCGACCUGGGUAGAUACUGACGCUGAGGUGCGAAAGCGUGGGGAGCAAACAGG
rnacentral:rRNA from 1 species